UGUUAAUGUUAUUAUGUCUCAGAAAAUGCCU
rnacentral:piRNA from 1 species